rnacentral:rRNA from 1 species
CUGGUUGAUCCUGCCAGUAGUCAUAUGCUUGUCUCAAGAUUAAGCCAUGCAUGUCUCAGUAUAAGGCUGUAGAUGCCGAAACUGCGAAUGGCUCAUUAAAACAGUUAUAGUUCAUUUGCUGGUUGAAAGACUAUCUGGAUAAACUGUGGCAAUUCUAGAGCUAAUACAUGCGUAAAGACGCAACUUCGCGGAAGCGUUGUAUUUGUUGGACACACGAACCACCCCGGCUAUCCGGUAUCUGGACGACUCACAAUAAAUGGGUGGAGCCGCGUGACAUGUGUUGGCGCCAAAACAUUCAAGUUUCUGACCUAUCAGCUUCCGACGGUAGGGUAUUGGCCAACCGUGGCAUUGACGGGUAACGGAGAAUUAGGGUUCGAUUCCGGAGAGGGGAGCC